rnacentral:rRNA from 1 species
AGGCCUUAUGGUUGUAAAGCACUUUAAGCGAGGAGGAGGCUACUUUAGAUAAUACCUAGAGAUAGUGGACGUUACUCGCAGAAUAAGCACCGGCUAACUCUGUGCCAGCAGCCGCGGUAAUACAGAGGGUGCAAGCGUUAAUCGGAUUUACUGGGCGUAAAGCGCGCGUAGGCGGCUAAUUAAGUCAAAUGUGAAAUCCCCGAGCUUAACUUGGGAAUUGCAUUCGAUACUGGUUAGCUAGAGUGUGGGAGAGGAUGGUAGAAUUCCAGGUGUAGCGGUGAAAUGCGUAGAGAUCUGGAGGAAUACCGAUGGCGAAGGCAGCCAUCUGGCCUAACACUGACGCUGAGGUGCGAAAGCAUGGGGAGCAAACAGGAUUAGAUACCCUGGUAGUCCAUGCCGUAAACGAUGUCUACUAGCCGUUGGGGCCUUUGAGGCUUUAGUGGCGCAGCUAACGCGAUAAGUAGACCGCCUGGGGAGUACGGUCGCAAGACUAAAACUCAAAUGAAUUGACGGGGGCCCGCACAAGCGGUGGAGCAUGUGGUUUAAUUCGAUGCAACGCGAAGAACCUUACCUGGCCUUGACAUAGUAAGAACUUUCCAGAGAUGGAUUGGUGCCUUCGGGAACUUACAUACAGGUGCUGCAUGGCUGUCGUCAGCUCGUGUCGUGAGAUGUUGGGUUAAGUCCCGCAACGAGCGCAACCCUUUUCCUUAUUUGCCAGCGAGUAAUGUCGGGAACUUUAAGGAUACUGCCAGUGACAAACUGGAGGAAGGCGGGGACGACGUCAAGUCAUCAUGGCCCUUACGGCCAGGGCUACACACGUGCUACAAUGGUCGGUACAAAGGGUUGCUACCUAGCGAUAGGAUGCUAAUCUCAAAAAGCCGAUCGUAGUCCGGAUUGGAGUCUGCAACUCGACUCCAUGAAGUCGGAAUCGCUAGUAAUCGCGGAUCAGAAUGCCGCGGUGAAUACGUUCCCGGGCCUUGUACACACCGCCCGUCACACCAUGGGAGUUUGUUGCACCAGAAGUAGUUAGCCUUACUGCAUAAGAUGGCGGUAGUAUAGAGAGUUCGGUACACG